rnacentral:rRNA from 1 species
UACGAAGGGGGCUAGCGUUGCUCGGAAUCACUGGGCGUAAAGCGCACGUAGGCGGAUUGCUAAGUCAGGCGUGAAAUCCUGGAGCUCAACUCCAGAACUGCCUUUGAUACUGGCGACCUUGAGUCCGGGAGAGGUGAGUGGAACUGCGAGUGUAGAGGUGAAAUUCGUAGAUAUUCGCAAGAACACCAGUGGCGAAGGCGGCUCACUGGCCCGGUACUGACGCUGAGGUGCGAAAGCGUGGGGAGCGAACAGG